UUCGCUGUCCGUAGAAGAAGGAAAAUCGCCAUCAUUUCAACAGAGCACCAACAGCACGUGGGAGGGACGUGUCGAACAAAAACUGUUCCAGAACGUUAGCAGUACUCAAGCCAUCCUUUUUGCUUUUAGUCUUGCAACUGUUGUUACCUUAGUUACCAUUGGGACCGUGUUUGUUCUGAGACGGCGUAGGCGGACAAGGCCACAAUACACUUACGUAGCUGUGUACAGCCAAGAAACAGCCGUACUAUAAAAGGCUAUCCUGUCAUCCAAGGUGUUGCGAGCUGAGUUAAAAAACAGAGAAACUUCACUCGACUUCAACGCAUAAACAAGGUGCGAUUGAGAGGUUAAAAAACAAAAGGUAAACUCUUCAUAUAACCCGAUAUGAAGAAUGUCAUAGAUCGUACUAUCGAAUGGACUGUCUACACUGGCGCCAUCUCACGGAAACUAUAAUUAAUGUUUCAACGGGAUCGAGAUGAAAAAAUUAAAAAACACACACACACUCUAUACUAUUAUAUAUUAAAAUAAAUCUUCACUAUUACGUAAAUUAUAAGAUUGUGUGUGUGUGUGUUUUUGUUGUUGUUGUUUUUUUUUAAUUUGAUUCAUCGUUUGAGCGAAGAUUAUAGUCCCAGAGUUUUGAAUGUUUCUCCAACAAUCCGUGACUUACCGCAUGGUGGCGCCGCGCCUUCUAAGUGUUUGUUCCAGUUGUCAUCACGGCCGAACUAUAACCUGUUGAACGUAAAGCUUUGCCUUGUACCGUAUCCUGUGUUGUCAUGGUGAUAAUAACCGAUGCACUUGGCUACUGCUAUCACAAAGAUUGGUUUAUGACGUGCACACGUGGAACUACGUCACUAGAAGAACACUAUAAUAAACAACAUAGUCUUGCCAGUGGAGCGUGUACAUUCAGAUUUUAAGCUGUUUAUUUAUAAUAUAGAUUUUUCUGCUUUUGACAAUCUUUUGCAGCCACAAAAUGUCUUUAUUUUUUGUGUUUGACCAAUGACUAGUGCUAAUUAGUUUACAUUUUUGAGUUAUUAUUAUUUGUAUUAUUAUUACUGCUUCACAUUUGGCUUAAAGUAACAUUUGUUUUGAUUUAAAUCAAUUAAUAUAAAUGUGUUGAUAACAAUACUUUGUUAAAUAGUCAGAAAAUAUGUCAAUCUUUCUAGUUGGAUAACAAAAUUACUUUGUAAACUUCACCCUUGUUAUCUAUCAAAAUCAAAAUUAUAUAUAUAAUAUUGUAAAUAGUGUUCAAUUAUUCAAAUGUUUGAAAUUAUAUGAAUUAUUUGGCUAUCUUUUGAAUAUCAU